AAUUUCUUCUAACGUUUCUCUCCAUUUCUUGUCAAAUUCUUACAAGACCAAGAAUAUAAGCCGUGUUGACAUUUAGGAUGAACGGUAAGACACGACAUGACAAGAAGGAAAUAUAGCAAUCGAAAGAUCGCAUAAAUCAUUUUCCCCGUACCAGUCGCAAAACGAGAAACUUUCUUCGCAAUAUACCACAUAAUUUCCUUCUAACAGUCAGGUAUCCUGACUGUUUUGUGGAACGAUACGACGACGAACAUUGCGUACGAAUAAUAGCACGACGUACUAACGAGUUCCAGUAAUAGCAAAAAGUGACUUUGUUAACUAAAAAAUAUCUCGAUAGAUGAAAAGAGGAAUGCGAAUUUAUUUGUCCGCUACUAGCAAAUAAUAAGGAUGGACAAUUUGCACCAGCUAAUAAGCGUAUUGUGCCGCUGUUUUCUAUACGAGUACAAGCAAUCAAAGUGAAAUUAAAGCGAUGACCGUAUAUACUCGUGAUGCUGAUAUUAUUUUCACCCUAACAAUGUGCGGAAACACUACAAUGGUUCUAUGGAUGGUACUUCUUGCAACAUUUUAUUGCAACCAUGUAGCAGUUGAACCAAUGACAUUUUCAAGUUAAAGCUAUCUAUAGAAUUUUAAGUUGAUUUCGAGGAACAUCGUAAAACGACAUAAAGUCUUCUUUUCACCAUGAUUAUGUCUUUCACUAACGUAAUUAACAAUAACACUAUUUAAACGGCCUAUUUGUAUCGCAAUAUAAUAGUAAUCUUUGCCCUCAAUGUGAAAAGCAUCAAUUAUGACUUUCCCGCUCUCCGAAAGUUCUCUUCCACGAGGGAUUUCACCUCCUAACCUUUACAAACACAUCUUGAGAAUGUAAAUUGAAACAAAUGAAGGUAACAUGAUGAAUUUGUUUACUUGCGAAGUCCGAUGGAUGCUAACGUAAAGAGGAUAUAUAAAAUUAAUAUACUAUAUAUUUAUGAAUCGUCUCAAAAUCAAGUUUUACGAAACUCAACUUACAUUUAUGUUAAUACGCCACUUUUAUUUUACAUAAUUUAUUUUAUACGCAUUACGAAUUAGUAUUUAAGAAAUGCUAACCGUAAUCUCGCACCAAAGCUAGAUCGUGGGAAAAAUGAGUCCAUAUGACAUGAAUUCAUGAUAUGAAUUAAUAUAUAUCAAUACACAAUGUAUACGGAUCUUAUUCUACUUUUAAAUUCCUAGUGAAAAACUAUCAAAUAUUUUAUUAAAAAUCAAGUGCAUAUUGAGGGUAUGCUCCCAUUGCAUCGAUUCCGUACUAAGCAUACAAAACUAGUACUUAAACAGUUUUGAAGGUCACUUAUCAAAAUGGACGCGACGACCUUUAUUGAUUUGCACAGAUUUAAAAUCAAGGUACCACAUUUUCCUCGUCGUUAUCUUCAUUUUUACAGUUACAAUAAUCUUAUGCAUUUGACAGAUAAUAAUUAUCGCUGUAAAUUUGUCUCGCCAAUUAAAAAUGAACUUCAUUUUUUGGCAUUACUUUAUUGUAAAUCUACGAUUCACAGUGAACUUUUUCUGGAUUACAUUAAUUGUCUACUCAGA